rnacentral:misc_RNA from 1 species
CAAGGUUAAACCAGAAGUGUUUCGGAACCUCGCUCCUGCCCCUGUUUCAGGAAAGGUUACGACCGUAUUAGCUAGUGUUGAUCUGUGUUCCAUGGUUUGUGUGAGUUUGAAUAGUUUGUGUGUGGCGGUUUCUGUUAGUUUUAUAUUUAAUUGCGAAUCAGGUAAAGAUAGCCAGGAGGAUUUAGAUGGAUUUGAAAGACAAUAAAUAUGUAUGGG